AAAUAAGAAGCAAAACAUUGCAUUUAGUUUCGACCUAAAAAUUUGAUUUUAAAAAAUCCUUAUUUA
rnacentral:tRNA from 1 species